UAGUCUUGUUCACCUUAGACGUUUGUAUUUAAAAAGAUGUGAUUUUGAUAAGCUACCAUCGUCCAUAAGGAAUUUGGUAUACAUGGAUACCCUUGAUUUAACUGAUUCGAUGAAUAUUGAAGUCCCAAAUGUUUUUAAGGAGAUGCUACGUUUAAAACACUUGUUUCUUCCCGAUUAUGAUGAGGAAAAAAUUGGAAAUUAUCGAUUGACAUUGGACGAGGGAGUGAUUGAGUUGGAGACCCUGUGGAAUUUGGAUAGUAGAGUGCAUGAAUUAAAAUGUAUGAACAGAAUGAAGAAUCUGCGAAAUUUCUCAAUAAAAAUACACGACAAUGAAAGCUUGUCAGCCAUCAUCGACGCCAUUGCUCUCAUGGAAAAGUUACUGUAUUGUUCGGUUGAAAUCAAAGAGGGUUCAAGUUAGGAACAAUGAGGAGUGUUAACGCUGAAGAAGGUAAUCACAUGUCCCAAUCUUCAUUCCUUGUGGAUUGAAGUUAAGUUAGGGAAGGCGCUGGCAGAGUGCGGNAAAAUUGGAAAUUAUCGAUUGACAUUGGACGAGGGAGUGAUUGAGUUGGAGACCCUGUGGAAUUUGGAUAGUAGAGUGCAUGAUUAAAAUUCCGAAUAGAAUGAUGAAUCUGCGAAGUUUCAGAACAAAAAUACACGACGAUGAAAGCUUGUCAGCCAUCAUCGACGUCAUUGCUCUCAUGGAAAAGUUACUGCAUUGUUGGGUAGAAAUCAAAAAGGGUUGCGAGUUAGGAACAAAUAAGGGAGUGUUAACGCUGAAGAAGGUAAUCACAUGUCCCAAUCUUCAUUCCUUGUGGAUUGAAGUUAAGUUAGGGAAGGCGCUGGCAGAGUGCGGGAGUGACUUCAUCAGUUCAAAACUUAUAACUUUGUUCCUGUCAGAAUGUGAGAUUGAGGAUGAUCCAAUGGGGAUACUGGGGAAGCUUCCUUGCUUGACAGAUUUGUAUUUAUACAGUGAAUCAUUUGUGGGGGAGGAGAUGACGUGUCCAUCAAACAGUUUUCCUCGCCUCAAGGAGCUUGUGCUAUCUCAAUUACCAAAGUUGAGGGAGUGGAGAGUGGAGGCAGGAGCCAUGCCCCUUCUCUAUGAAUUGAAGAUCUAUGAUUGUUCCAGUCUGAAGAUGCUUCCAGAUGGUUUGAGUGGCAUUUCUACUCUUCGGAAACUGAAGAUUACUCGAAUGGCGGAAAUGGGGAAGAGGGUAUCGGCAUCAGGAGAGGAUUUCCACAAAGUCAGCCAUGUCCCUUCAAUUAUCAUCCAUGACGAUUACUAGUCUAGUCAAAGAAUUCAUAUAUAGAGAUGAAAAGGAGAUUGAUGGAGUGCUAAAUUUAAGCUAUGAAAGUCUACCAUAUUAUUUGAAGCCUUGCUUUCUCUAUAUGGGUAUAUUUCAAGAGGACCAAACCAUAUAUCCUAGGGAUCUAUAUUUUAUGUGGAUAGCACAAGGCAUGAUUUCAUAUGAGAAUAUUGGAGACAAGGACAAAUCUUUAUAUGAAAUCGCGGAGCUCUACUUGGGUGAGUUGGCCUCCAGGUCCAUCGUCCAAGUCGAAAUUUACGAUGGUACACCGGGAAGAAAAUACGAGACAUGACUUCAUGAUGUAGUAAGAGAACUAUGUUUGAAAUUAGGGAGAAGUGAGGAUUUUGGUGUGCAGAGUUUGGAGUAUCAAAGUGGGAAACUACGACAAGCUUCCUCGCACAGGAAAAUACGGCAUUUGGCUAUACAUUUCAGGAAAGAAGUUCAAGUGGAAUCUGACGAGCUUACAGUCACUUGAGGAGAAGAUAGUAGCGAACAUUUAAGGUCACUUCAAAUGUUCAAUUCGGGUGUUGUUGUUGAGUAUCCCCCGCAAGGUAUUGUUGAUUUUCAGAAAUUCAAAUUGUUGAGAGAUCUAGUUAUGGUGGGAUUCAAAUUUGGACGAGGGAGUGGUUGAGUUGGAGACUCUGGUGGAGUUGGAUAGUGGAGUGCAUGAAUUAAAAUGUAUGAAUAGAAUGAAGAAUCUACGAUUUUUCUCAAUAAUUAUGCAUGACAAUGAAAGCUUGUCAGCCAUGAUCAAUUCCAUUGCUAUCAUGGACAAGUUAGUGUUUUGUCGGGUUGUAAUCGAACGGGGUUGCGAGUUAGGAACAAAUGAGGGAGUAUUGAACAAGGCACUCACAUGUCCCAAUCUUCAUGAGUUGAGAUCAAGAAACUUUUACCAAAUAUUGAUUUUGCAGCACGUGAACUAAAAACACCGUCUCUAAAUAUAUACAUGAUGUUUUAAUUAUUCUAAAUUUUCAUAUAAUGGUUAAUUAGUUUCCGGUGAACCGUGGCUAACUGAAGUGACGAAUUAAUGUAAUUGUGAUUACUUUUUAUUAACUGAAGUGACGAUUAACGCCCCCCUUAAAGUUCAUAUGUAUAAAAUUGAAAUGCAUCUACUUAAAUAAGUGGAGUAUGUAUUGAGAAUCCACAGCAGGGGAUGGUUAUAUUACGGCAAAUCAAAUUUUAUAAAUUAAAAGUUUUUUCAGUAGGUACUUAUUAGGUUAUGUUCAACUACUCAUAAUUAUGUUAGCGAAAUAAGCAUAUUGAAAAAUCAAGAUUUGGCAUUGUAAAAAGAGACAUGCAUGCAUACCAAAAAAAGAGUUAAUGGGCUCAAUUAGCACUUCUUGGAUAAGAAAAGGAAAAAAUGUCCACCCAAAUAAAAAUAUGGAAAAACUAGCCUUUUUUAAUGUAAAUGUACAAUUAUACCCUUAAUACUGUUACACACUUUUUCGGAAAAGUGUGUAAUAACGUAAAAGUGUGUAAUUGCAAAAAAGUGUGUAACAGUGUAAAAUACAUUGUUACACACUUUUUCAAAUAUCGUGUAAUAGUGUAUUUUACAAUAUUACACACUUUUUCUCAAAAAUGUGUAAUUACGUAAAAGUGUGAUUGCGAAAAAGUGUGUAACAGUGUAUUUUACACUGUUACACACUUUUUCGCUUAUAAAAAUGUGUGUAAUAGAGUAUUUUAUACUGUUACACACUAAAAGGGUAUUUCAGUCAAAAAUGCUAUUAUUUCCAUAUUUUUAUUUGUAUGGCUAGAAUUUCCUAUAACUAAAAGGUUUUGGCUAGAGUAUGGUGCUGCCUCCCAAAAAAAAUAUGAUGAGAUUCUCUGUCCAUAUAUGUCCGAUAUCAUCUGUGAUUCCCUAUUAAUUUUACUAAUUUAAUAAUAUUUAUUAUAAAAUAAAUAAAUAUUAUAUUGUACUAAGCUCAGAAUAAUAAUGACAUAUUUGAGCUCCGGAAUCAGAUUUAAGGUCCAAAAGAUUAACGAAAAUGCCCCAAAUAUACCUCAGUAAUCAUAUAUUUUAAAAAUGAACUAUACCGAAUAAAAUAGGUUCUACAAAUAGAAUUAUUCAUACUUUCAUUUAUUAACCCAAUUGCAAAGAUGAGUCCAGCCCAAUUUCUUUCUCUCUUCCACUCCCUCUAAAAUGGACCCUUUUCUUAAUUAAGAGAUCCAACAAACAUAAAUUAUUCAUACUUUCAUUUAUUAGCCCAAUUUCUUAAUUAAGAGAUCCAACAAACAUAAAUUCGGCCCAAAACAUACCAGGCUCAACAGCACUUCAAUUUCAUGUUACAAAAUCAAAUUCAAAAGCGCAAUCUAAUGUAAUCCAUUUGAAAAAAAUCACGUAAUAUGAUGAUUUCAAGAAAUUAAAUAUAGUCGAGGAAAAUAAUCUCAUUAACCAUCACCCUUAAAUUUCCCACAUAUUUACACGUAUUGUCACUAAUGGACUCACAUAAACCUUAACUAUCUCAACUUUUUUCUAAAUUGUGGAGGCCCUUCUCCACUAAUCAAAUACACAAUAUUUUAUUUAAAACCCCUUCUAAUUAAUGACGAUGAUGACUAAAUGUUAAAUAAACUUAUAUUUGAAGCAUUAGUACUUUUUUUCCUUGCAAAAUAUUUUUAUUCGUGCAACUGAUACGACGACUAUCUCAAUCGUUUGGACGAUGAAGGCACUAAUAAAAGCACCCAAUGUGAUGAAAAAAAGUACAAGCAAAAAUCAGAAAUUUGAUAGGUGACAAGGGUAAAUUAGAUGAAGGUGAUAUGCCCAAACUUCCCUAUUUGGAAGUAGUGAUUAAGGAGACAUUGAGGUUGUACCCUUCAGCUCCACUGCUUGUACCAAGACAAACAAUAGAUCCGAAGUAUUGGAAAAAUCCAGACGAGUUCAUGCCUGAGAGGUUCUUGAAUAGAAAUAUUCAUGAUAUCACGAGGCAUGACUUUGUGUUCAUUAUUUGUUUAGUUUGAAGCCUUUGUGCUCAUCAAAAUUAUCAAAUAAAUUGAUAUUACGGUACUUCUUUGAAGGUAUUUUAAUGUCGUUUUACAUUAAUGAUGAAUUCAGGACUAACAAUAAUGUAUUCGUGUGAAUUAAGAUACUCUUAUUAUAUUUAUGGAUAAUUGAUAGUAUAUGAUAAUAUUAUGAGUUUAAGAUUUAGAGUUUUGAUAAGUAAUCUUUUUUCUACUAGAGAUUUCUUUACAUUGUUUUAAUUAAUGAGGUUUGCCCCCAAUUCUUUAAUUUAUUUGUAAUUUCUACACCAGAUUUUAAACUUUAUUUCUUUUCUUGAAUUGUCACUUUUGCUGCUUUGCUGUUUAGAAUUCUCGCCGAUCCCUUGGAAGAUGAUUUUGCUUGCUACUGUCUACGCAGUAAGGGCAUACCGGUUAUUUGUCGGAUAUUUCUGCUUUAUAUAUAAUAUAGAUUACUUUAAAAAAUAUAUAAUAAAUUAUCCGAAAAAUUGAGUAACUGCCCAAUAUUUGGAUUUGUUAUAGUACUCCUAUGGCAGGGCCGGCCCUUGCAUAGGGCCAAAGGGGCAAGGGCCUAGGGCCCCCUAAAUUUAGGGGGCCCCAAAAUAAAUACAAGUCCACUAAUAUUAAUCCUAUUAAAAAUUUUAGAUUAUUUUUUUAAUAUUUUUAUUGCAUAUAGAAUAUUGUUGAUUAUAAUGUGGUUAUUGUCCCCUAAAAAAAAGACUAUACUGGUUAUUGUAACUUUAGUAGAAAGAAGUUUUUUAAAAUUAAAAUCAAUAAAAUUAUAGUAUUUAUUUGCAUUCUACUAUAUCUCAAAAAAUGUUAAAUGUAUUAGCAAUUUUAUACUUUAAACAUGGGGUAUUCUUGAAGAGGUUAUUGAUAAUUUUGUUCCCAAAAUAUUAAAAAUCUACUUUAUUUCUAUAAUUAUUUGAUCAUUAAUUUAUGAUUUAUUGCACUUUAUAAUAAUGUUAGUUAUGCAGCUAUCUCAAAUUUGCUAUAAAAUUAUGAAGCUUUAUUUUCUAGGGGGGCUUUUUUUUUCCUUUCGCCUAGGGCCCCCAGAAUGUCAGGGCCGGCCCUGAUUACGAUAUCCCACUAUUAUCUUCUUUAAGGAACCGAACACCAUCUAAGUCUGCUCAUAAAUAAUUCUUAUUAUAUAUGCCAUCUCUAAUUAAGCUAAAAAACCAAAAAGCAAAAACAUACCUCAACAUAGUUAUCUAGAGUUCGUUACUGUUGAUAUGUGCUCAAUAUUUGGCUUAGAAAAUGUCAUGAAUAAUAUUAAUUUGUUUACAUGUCAUAGCUAGCUCUAGACAUUUCUUAAAACGUAAUGUCAUAACUUAGCAAAAGGUGACAGGAAACUACCAUCUUAUGAUGUUUAGUUCAUAUCAUAGGCUAAAUUAUUUGUAUUAAUAACAUUAAUCAACUCUUAUUGGCUUAAAGCGCCUUAAUUAAUUACUCACAACAAUUCAUUAUGCCAGCUAAUGACGAAUCACCCUAUCAUUUUUUAUACCAUAUUAUUGAGUUUUGGUCGUCAGAGUGCUUGAGAAAUGGUCUGAAGAGUUGCUGUCGUGACAUCAAAUAAGUAUUUUUAUUGCCUAUUCUUUAUUGAAUGAAGAAGAAAACAAGGUAGAAUCCAAAACAAGUGGAAUUAAUUAAGAUAAUGUGCUUUCUCAUAAGCUAAACUACUUUCACACUUUUCCCCGCAAACGAAAGUCAAACCUCUCCCUUCUUCCUCACACAACUCUCCAAGAACUAAUUUCUCUGUUCCAGAAAAUCCAAAUUCUUCGCAAUCUCCAUUGAAGAAUUUGUAUUCACAACAACGAGUUCCAUAUCCUUAUUCCUCUCUCUAUAUACUAUCACCAAUACUAAAUCAGUUUGGCCAAAGAAAUUCGAGUUUGGAAUUGUUGCGAUGGCAGAAGCUGUAGUGUCGACUGCUCUGGAAACCUUGCGCGAUUUGUUGGUGGACGAAGCAAGGUUUCUAUAUGGUGUGGGCGACGAAGUGAGGCAGCUCGAGAUCCAGCUCAAAGAGAUGAAGUGUUUCCUUGAAGAUGCUGACAGAAGGCGACAUGAAAGCAAAACCAUUUUCAAUUGGAUCUCAGAGAUCAAAGAUCUUUUGUACAGAGCCGAAACUGCCAUUGAAAGACACGCAGCUCAUCAAGUGUCUUCAAGGAGAUCAAGACGAGGCCUGAGGCAGCUCAUCCGCAGAUAUUCUUGUAUUUUGGAAGAAGGCUACUCGCUCCACCAACUAGGCUCCGAGAUUUCACAAAUCAAAUCCGAUCUUGGAAGAGUCACCGAAGCCAUGCGAGCCUACGGAAUAAAGAACAUCAUCGAUCGUGAGGAGAGCUCGUCCACCAAUAACAGGGCAAGGAAGAGCUUCCCUGAAUUCGAGAUCGGAGACUGUUUCGUGGGGAUGGAGGAUGAGCUGAGGCAGCUUGUUCAUCUCCUCGGGCAAGAGAAGGACGAUAGAGUUAUAUCAGUGUUGGGAAUGGGGGGAUCAGGCAAGACCACCAUUGCCAAAAAGCUCUACAACNNNNNNNNNNNNNNNNNNNNNNNNNNNNNNNNNNNNNNNNNNNNNNNNNNNNNNNNNNNNNNNNNNNNNNNNNNNNNNNNNNNNNNNNNNNNNNNNNNNNNNNNNNNNNNNNNNNNNNNNNNNNNNNNNNNNNNNNNNNNNNNNNNNNNNNNNNNNNNNNNNNNNNNNNNNNNNNNNNNNNNNNNNNNNNNNNNNNNNNNNNNNNNNNNNNNNNNNNNNNNNNNNNNNNNNNNNNNNNNNNNNNNNNNNNNNNNNNNNNNNNNNNNNNNNNNNNNNNNNNNNNNNNNNNNNNNNNNNNNNNNNNNNNNNNNNNNNNNNNNNNNNNNNNNNNNNNNNNNNNNNNNNNNNNNNNNNNNNNNNNNNNNNNNNNNNNNNNNNNNNNNNNNNNNNNNNNNNNNNNNNNNNNNNNNNNNNNNNNNNNNNNNNNNNNNNNNNNNNNNNNNNNNNNNNNNNNNNNNNNNNNNNNNNNNNNNNNNNNNNNNNNNNNNNNNNNNNNNNNNNNNNNNNNNNNNNNNNNNNNNNNNNNNNNNNNNNNNNNNNNNNNNNNNNNNNNNNNNNNNNNNNNNNNNNNNNNNNNNNNNNNNNNNNNNNNNNNNNNNNNNNNNNNNNNNNNNNNNNNNNNNNNNNNNNNNNNNNNNNNNNNNNNNNNNNNNNNNNNNNNNGUCUUCAUACAUAUGUCUAGCUACUUUCCGCUGCAAGAUGUUGUUGAUGUUAUAGUAUGUUAUGUCAUACUUUGAGUCUUAAGAGAAUGGUUUCAUACGAUGUAUAACUUGAUUAAUGAUAUUAAUUAAGUUUUAUGCUGUCUUUCAUAGACUGUUUUCAAUUGAGUAUUAAUGAAUAAAAAUGACGAGUUUUAUUAAGAUGAGUAAGUUUUACGGCUAUAAAUGACGCCCCUUUUCUUCCCCUUCUUCUUUAACCCCAUCCCUAGUCGUGGAUCACUCGGCCUAACUAUCCAUAGUUAGGGCGGGCUGUGACACUACCCUAUUAUUUGAAGCCUUGCUUUCUCUAUAUGAGUUUAUUUCAAGAGGACGAAGAUAUAUAUGUUGACAAUCUAUAUACUAGAUGGAUAGUUCAAGGAAUGAUCUAAUAUAAGAAUGUUCGAGACAACAAGGAAACAUUAACGGACAUUGCGGAGCUCUACUUGGGUGAGUUGGCCUCCAGGUCCAUCGUCCAAGUUCAAAUUAAUGACAACAAUGGUGCUGCCAAAUAUAGAGGAAAAUAUUGGAGCUGCAAACUUCAUGAUGUAGUAAGGGAGCUAUGUUUAAAAUUGGGGAAAAGGGAGGAUUUUGGUGUGCUGAAUUUGGAGUAUCAAAGUGGAAAACUUGAUACCUUAGCUUCCUCGCAUAUGAAAAUACGACAUUUAGCUAUCCAUUUCAAAAGAGAAGUCGAACUGGAACCUGAUGAGCUUGGAGAAGUGUCACACCCCAGUUCUUGAAACAUUAACUAUAACUGGGGUACGACUAAUCAUCUAAACGAACAAGGGAGAACCCUUGUGAAAUCCGAAUGAAAGGGAUAACAAUCGGGCUUAGCCCCUUUGGAUGAAGAAAGACAUGUAUUCAAGUGAUACGAAUCAAUCAACAAACAUAACAACUUCAGGAUCACAAGUUUAGUUUCAUGCUUCAAAUAACCAACAUUCACUGAUCGAAAUACUUGAGAGUCAAUAGUCUAGGCUCAACAAAAGAUAUUGUUUAGAGUCACAAUAUAAUAGANCAACAAAAAUAUACGACCACGAAAGCUUGUCAGCCAUCAUCGACGUCAUUGCUCUCAUGGAAAUGUUACAGCAUUGUUGGGUUGGAAUCAAAAAGGGUUGCGAGUUAGGAACAAAUAAGGGAGUGUUAACGCUGAAGAAGGUAAUCACAUGUCCCAAUCUUGAUUCCUUGUGGAUUGAUGUUAAGUUAGGGAAGGCGCUGGCACUGGCAGAGUGCGGGAGUGACUUCAUCAGUUCAAAACUUUUAAGUUUGGUCCUGUCAGAAUGUGAGAUUGAGGAUGAUCCAAUGGGGAUACUGGGGAAGCUUCCUUGCUUGAUAGAGUUGUAUUUAGACAGUGAAUCAUUUGUGGGGGAGGAGAUGACGUGUCCAUCAAACAGUUUUCCUCGCCUCAAGAAGCUUAGUUUAUAUCUAUUACCAAAGUUGAGGGAGUGGAGAGUGGAGGCAGGAGCCAUGCCCCUUCUCUCUCAAUUACAAAUAGAUGAGUGUUCUAAUCUGGAGAUGCUUCCAGAUGGAUUGAGUCUCAUUUCCACUCUUCAGGAACUAGAAAUUAUUGAUAUGCCGGAAUUGGGAAAAAGGGUAUCAACAUCAGGAGAGGAUUUCCACAAAGUCAGCCAUGUCCUUUCAAUUAUCAUCCGAGACAAUUGAUGACUAACUAGUCUAGUUUCCACCCAGGUAAUGCUUGCACCAAUUAAUCUCAUUCUCAAUUCCCAAUUAUGUUGCUUCAAUUUUAGUUUUUCUCUAAAAGAUAGGUAUCUCGAUAAGGUUUUAACUUUAAAGCUCGACGCAUUCUAAACUUGUAUCGUCUUGGUUAAUUGGUUGCAGGGAUUGUUGUUCCAUGUCCUAAGUAUUUCUCUUUAAUUAUUUGCAAUCUUUUCUCUCCUCCCUUGUUUCGCUUUAAUCACUUCUUUAAAAAUAAAUGUGUAUAUUUUUAUUAAUCUGGUUGAAUUUGGUGAUUCUGGACAAUUUAUUCUGGACUUGUUUAGUUCCAUAUGGAGUUAUUUUGGUAAGAUUCAGUCAUGAGCCUUUGUUUAUAAUUUUUGGAGAUUUAAGCUUUAUUUCAGUUCUUGAAUUGUGUUUUUUGUUGCUUGGUUGUUUAGAAUCCAAUAAAUUGAAAACUGGGUUGAUUAAUAUGAACAUGCUAUAAUAAUGAUAGUGUGUGUUUUGAAUAGAUGGAUAUAAAAUCCCGAUUGGUAUACGUAAUUCUUAGCUCAAAAUUCUUCGACUAGUAUCUCUACUGCAGAUGGUUUUGAUUAAGCAAGAAAAAUUGGAUUAGGUUAAUGAUAUUGUUGAAGGAAAUGUAGCGAAGCAGACUUGUGGCGCCUACCUGUCAACACUAAUUUUAAUUAAAAGUUUUUUCAGUAGGUACUUAUUAGGUAUGUUCAACUACUCAUAAUUAUGUUAACGAAAUAAGCAUAUUGAAAAAUCAAGAUUUGGCAUUGUAAAAACAGACAUGCAUGCAUGCCAAAAAAAUAUGAUGAAAUUCUGUGUCCAUAUAUGUCCGAUAUCAUCUGUGAUUCCCUAUUAAUUUAACUAAUUUAAUAAUAUUUAUUAUAAAAUAAAUAAAUAUUAUAUGUACUAAUCUCAGAAUAAUAAUGACAUAUUAUCGGAUUUAAGGUCCAAAAGAUUAACGAAAAUGCCCCAAAUAUACCUCUAACUAUACUGAAUAAAAUAGGUUCUAUAAAUAGAAUUAUUCAUACUUUCAUUUAUCAGCCCAAUUGCAAAGAUGAGUCCAGCCCAAUUUCAUUCUCUCUCUUCCACUCCCUCUAAAAUGGGCCCAUUCCUUAAUUAAGAGAUCCAACAAACAUAAAUUCGGCCCACAAAUUACCACCACUUCAAUUUCAUGUUACAAAAUCAAACUCAAAACUCAAAAGCCCCAAUCUGAUUAACUUAGUUUAUGCAAAUUUAAUCCAUUUGAAAAAAAUCCCAUAAUAUGAAGAUAUCGAGAAAUUAAAUAUAGUCGAGGAAGACAAUGUCGAGAAUAUUGAUGAUCCAUUUUAAUAUCAGGUGACUUGUGUGUUAUUGAGAGAUGUAGUUUAAUCCUCAAAUAUCCAUCUCUAAACUAAAAAGCCAAACAAAACAUACCUCAUCAAAGUUAUAGUAUCUAGAGUUCAUUACUAAUUAAGGAUGGGGCAUGUUUGGUCUUGGCGUUACACCGUUGAUAUGUGCUCAAUAUCAACGGUGUUAAAGAGCAAACUUUUUCUUGAAAUAUCAUGACUAGCCACAGAUAUAAUAAUAAUAAUAAUAAAAAAAACACAUAUAUUGCACCAUCAAGUACUAGUACUCCCCUCGCCCAAAAAUAUGGUAUUUUUGUAAUUUUGAUUCGUUUAUAAACAAUGUAUAGUAUGAUCUGAUUUCUUAUGAUUGAGAUAUUUUUUUAUAAUUGUUUAUACAUGCGAGGAUAUUCCUAAUUCAAUUCAAACAUCAAUCUGUAUAUAUCAAAUAAAUUUAUAUAUAUUUUUUUGUAAAUAUGCAAUAUGUAAUAUACAAAAUAUUUUUGAAAUAAAUUAUGUAAUGGGGUAAAAUAGACAAUCUAAAUUUUGUGCCCAAAACACUUUUUCUGUUAGUAUAGAUAUAGAUUAAUAUUGAUGUGGUGUUUAUAUUUUUAUACACGUUCUUUUAUGAUAUUAUCAAUCUCUUUCACACAUAAUAUUUUAAAAAAAAAUUAUCUAACAAAUCAUUUAAAAACUACUCCCUCCGUCAACGAAAAUAUGGCCUAAAGGAUGAUGACACAAGUUUUAAGAAAACUUGUAUUGUUUAUUUAAUGAGUGGAGAAAAGAUUUAUAAAUUUAAAAAANUGAAAAAAGUUAAUUAAGUUAGUGAGUAGGAAAGGGGCCCAGAAGUUAGUCAAGUAAUUGCUAAAAAUAAGUUAUAAGUAACAUAUUUUUAUGUACAGACCAAAAUGCUAAAUUAAAUCAUAUUUUCGUGAACGAAAGGAGGAGUAAACAACAUAUUAACUUUAAUUUGUUAUUUUUUCACUUUAUACAACCUUUUAACUAUUUUGUCGGUAUACUAUACUUUUGGUGUACUGACAAAUGACUAUUGGUGAACGGUAGUUGUACCCACCAUCCCCACAAUUACUACCACAUGCUCCUUAUCCUUUUUCCUUCACUAAUUUCCUUCACUCUCACCACUACCAAAUCAACACUGUUCCACCAAUCAAUUAAGCCAAAGAAAUCUGAGCUUGAAUUCCCUCAAAUUGUUGCAAUGGCAGAAGCAGUGGUGUCGACACGCAGCUUAUCAAGUGUGUUCAAGGAGAAGACGAGGCCUCAGACAGCUCGUCCGCAAAUGUAGUUGUAGUUUAGAAGAAUACAAGUCGAUCCACCAACUAGGCUCCGAGAUUUCACCAAUCAAAUCCCGUCUUGAAAGGAUAAACAAGGAAAUGUUAGAAAGUGGCAUAAAGAAGAGCAUCAUCAACAAUACAGAUGAAGGGGAAAGCUCGUCCGCCAAUAACAGAGCAAGGAAGACCUUCCCUGAAUUCAAGAUCGGAGAGUGUUUUGUGGGGAUGAAGGACGAGCUCAAGCAGCUUCUUCAUCUCCUAGUGGAAGACGAAAAGCAUCGAGUAAUUUCAGUGUGGGGAAUGGGGGGAUCAGGCAAGACCACCAUUGCCAAAAAGCUCUACAACGAGACCAAGCUUGAUCUUUGCGCGUGGGUUUGCAUUAGUCAGCAAUGUCAGAGUUUUCAAUCAGUUUGGAAGGAUGUUCUCAUGCAGCUACAGCAUCAAAACACGAAGGAUGGGCCAAAAAUAAGGGAGGAUGUUACAAGUUUGAGCGAGUGGGAGUUGAAUGAGCGACUAUGCAAGAUACAAAAAGAGAAGCGAUGCCUCAUUGUUUUUGACGAUCUUUGGGAGAUAUUCUUGUAUUUUGCAAGAAUGCAACUCGCUCCACCAACUAGCCUCCGAGAUUUCACAAAUCAAAUCCCGUCUUGGAAGAAUCACCGACGACCUGCGAUCCUUUGGAAUAAAGAACAUCAUCGACGGCGGGGAGAGCUCGGCUUCCGGCGACAACAAGAGGAAAACAUUUUCCGAAUUCGAGAUUGGAGAUUGUUUUGUAGGGAUGGAGGAUGAGCUCAAGCAACUUGUUCAUCUCCUAGUGGAAGACAAAAAGCAUCGAGUUAUUUCAGUGUGGGGAAUGGGGGGAUCAGGCAAGACCACCAUUGCCAAAAAGCUCUACAACGAGACCAACACCAGCUUUGAUCUUUCUGCAUGGGUUUGCAUUAGUCAGCAAUGUCUGAGUUUUCAAUCUGUUCGGAAGGAUGUUCUCAAGCAGCUGGAGCCACAAACAGGGAAAGGCGUGAGCGAUGACGGGCCACAAAUAAGAGAGGACGUUGUUGCAAAUCUGAGCGAGUGGGAGUUGAAAGAGCGACUAUGCAAGAUACAAAGAGAGAAGCGAUUCCUCAUUGUUGUGGAUGAUCUUUGGAAAGUUUCUGAUUGGAAUGAGUUGAAGCAUCCCUUCAUUGUUCAUGGUUUGCAAAGCAAAAUCUUGAUCACCACGCGUGAACAGGAAGUUGCAGAGAUUGGAUGCCCAGUAAAAGUUGGGCUUCUAAAAGAGGAAGAUGCUUUGGAACUACUCAAGAUGAAAGCCUUUCCAGAUGCCAACAUUCCUGCAGGUUACUUCAUAUAUUCUAGUUGACUUUUGGCUACUUUACAAAUUAAUCAUAUACCCAUCUUUUUAAUUGUUGCAUUGCUUCUUCUUCACUCAAGCCAAAUGUUGUGCUGUGCCAGCGUAUAAAAUUUAUUAAUUUUCACUAUUCAACGAUCGGCAUUAAUUCGUUAUUUUAUAUUUGAAUGCAGAGUUUGCAUUGGAAAAAAGAGCUGAGAAAAUUGCCAAAGAAAUGGUGCAGAAAUGUGGGUAUUUGCCAUUGGCAAUUUCUUUGCUCGGUGGAGUCUUGAGAAUGAAAAAUUCGAUGACGGAGUGGGAGUUAGUAAAUGAGGAUAUCAAAUAAGCCAUAUAUAGAGAUGAAAGUGAGAUUGAUGGAGUGCUAAAAUUAAGCUAUGAAAGUCUACCCUAUUAUUUGAAGCCUUGCUUUCUCUAUAUGGGUUUAUUUGAAGAGGACGAAGAUAUAGGUGUUGAGAAUCUAUACAGGAUGUGGAUAGCACAAGGCAUGAUUCCAUAUGAGAAUAUUCGAGGCAAGGACAAAACUUAAUUUGACGGAAAUCGCGGAGCUCUACUUGGGUGAGUUGGCUUCCAGGUCCAUCGUCCAACUUCAAAUUAAUCCCUUCGAUGGUGUCACACCUGGGGAAAAAUAUUGGUGGUGCAAACUUCAUGAUGUAGUAAGAGAACUAUGUUUGAAAUUGGGGAAAAGGGAGGAUUUCGGUGUACUGAGUUUGGAGUAUCAAAGUGGGAAACUUAGUACCUUACUGCGGCAAGCUUCUUCUCAUAUGAAUAUACGACAUUUGGCUAUCCACUUCAGAACAUGAGAAGUCGAAGUGGAAUCUGACGAGCUUGGAGAAGAUACUAGUGAAAAGUUACCUAUCCAAUUGCAUAUGUCGCACACACAAAAAGCAAACGUGCAGCACAAAGUAUCAACGAAAGUAACAACACUGAACACAAGAGUUGUUCACCCAGUUCAGUGAUAAAACACCUACGUCUGGGGGGCCACGCCCAGGGUAAAUUAUCCACUAGUGAAGAUAAGAUAUUUACAGGACUUAUGCGACAGACUCUCUAGCCUUCUAGCCUCAAUAUCUUCCCAAACCCUCACAACGAUGAAUAAUUGAGAAAAGAACAACGAUCUAAUCUCUAAGCGUGAAUGAACCUCACUCACCACCAACACCCACGAAAAUAACAUCCACCAACAGGCUGGAAAAAGCAACAAACGAAUAAGAAAACACUACCCCAACAGAUUGCUCAAUAAACCCACGAAAAAGCAAUUGAACAAGAUCACACACACUCACGAAAUUGUAUGAUCUGAAACCCAUGAAAUUACUCUCCAAUAUGUAGAAGAAUAUCAAAGAAAUCAGCCACCAAAAACGUCCUCAUUCUCUUCCUUAAAUAGGCAAACCCUAGAAAGAGUUAUAUCUUGAGUAGAACUCUAAUAAAGAUGAUAUACUCGAUCUAUAAUCAUAAACCCUCAAUAUUUCGAGCAUAUAGCUGAUAUAAUGUGAGAUAUAACCAUAAGAGACGUGAUAUACUCAAACACUAAUGAGCUAGAAAAUCGCAAAGCUGAAAACCCGUAAUGAACAGUACUCCCAUAAUGCCAGCCGAAGUAUCAACUCUGUCAGAUACUUUGAGAGCAACACUAGCAAAUUUGUCUACAUAAUGACAACAACCAAACUUGAGUAUCAAAUACUCAACAACUAGCAAACAUUUAAGGUCUCUUCAAAUGUUCAAUCGCGGUAAUAAUUUUGGGGAGUUUCCCCCGCCAAGCAUCGUUGAUUUUCAUAAAUUCAAAUUGCUCAAGGAUCUAGUUAUGGUGGGAUUUGCAUUUGCAGGAAGAAAGUUACCGAAAGGAAUCACUAAUCUUGUUCACCUUAGAUGUUUGCGUUUAGAAAAAUGUGAAUUUUAUAAGCUACCAACGUCCAUAAGAAAUUUGGUGUACUUGGAUAUCCUUGAUUUAAAUCAUUCGAGGAAUGUUGAAGUUCCAAAUGUUUUUAAGGAGAUGCUACGUUUAAAGCACUUGCUUCUUCCGAGGUAUGAUGAGGAAAUUAUUGAAAGUAAUAGAUUAACGUUGGACGAGGAAGUGGUUGAGUUGGAGAGUCUGAUGGGGUUGGAUAGUAGAGUGUAUGAAUUAAAAUGUCUGAACAAAAGGAAGUAUCUGCGAAGAUUCUCAACAAGUAUACACGACCACAAAAGCUUGUCAGGCAUGAUCGAUGGCAUUGCUAUCAUGGACGAGUUAGUGUAUUCUAAGGUUGAAAUCGAAAAGGGUUGCGAGUUAGGAACAAAUGAGGGAGUGUUGAACAAGGCAUUCACAUGUCCCAAUCUUUAUAUCUUGUCGAUUCGAGUUAAGUUAGGGAAGGCGCUGGCAGAGUGCGAGCGUUAUUUUAUCAGAUCUAUACUUAUUAGUUUGUCCCUGUUAGAAUGUGAGCUUGAGGAUGAUCCAAUGGGAAUACUGGGGAAGCUUCCUUGCUUAGCAGCUUUGUCUUUAGAGAGGAAAUCAUUUGUGGGGGAGGAGAUGACGUGUCCAUCAAACAGUUGAGGGAGUGGAGAGUGGAGGCAGGAGCCAUGCCCCUUCUCUCUCAUUUAGAGAUAUGUGUGUGUCCUAAUCUGAGAUGCUUCCAGAUGGAUUGAGUGGCAUUUCUACUCUUCGGGAACUGCAUAUCUAUGGAAUGCCGGAAUUGGGGAAGAGGGUAUCGGCAUCGGGAGAGGAUUUCCACAAAGUCACCCAUGUCCCUUUAAUUAUCAUCCUUGACGAUGACUAGUCUAGUCCUUUUCUGUGCAAUAUUAAGUGUUUUGCUUUAAUCACUUAUAUUUGGAAAUAAUAUGUAUAUAUAUAUACUUGAAGCCUGACAACGGAGUGGUGCCUAUAUUUUAAUAAUUCCUUGUAUUAUUAAUUAAUCUGUUUGAUUUUCAUGAUUCUGCACAAUUAAUAUUGCUUACUUCCAUAUGUAGUUGUUUUAAUUUGGUGAGAUUCCACCCCUGGCCUGAGUCUUUGUUUGUAAUUUCUGGAGAUUUAAGUUAUAUUUUUAACAUCGUUAAAGCUCAUAUAGUCAGCGAGGUAAGGUAUCUCGUUUCUUGCAUUUUCAAUUUUAGUUUUUAGCACAGAUUUAAUCGUUCUAAUUAUUACCAAACUGCAAAACAUUCGUUCGAAUCGGGUUUUCAAUAAAUUGCAAUGUUUUGGAUAGUAAACCACAUAUAUAACUACUUCAUUUCACAAAUGAAAAGUAUUUGUGUUUCUUCUUAUUAAUUUGUUGUUUCUUAAUUUAUUUAAUUAUUUUAUACUAGUAGUAAGAAUGUGCUAUGCACGUUGAAUACGUGUGAUUUUAUACUAUGUAAAUAAAAUACAUAGACAUUACUCCAUCCAUUCACAAAAAAUAGUCAAUUUUCGUCAUUUUUGAGCGUCCCACAAAAAUUAGUCUAUUUUCACUUUUGAAAACUUUCUAUCACAUGGCGGGCUCUUAUCUCCAUUCACAAUAAAUUUAAUUAUCUUAUUAUUACUACCAUUUUAGUGGGACAUUUUCUCCACUUACAAUAAAAAUCAACCAUUUUCAUUAAAACCCGUGCCCCAAUUUUUAACCAUAGUCAAUUGGAAUAAUCAAUUCAGAAAGUUAUUAUUUUUAACUAUAAAUUUUAAUUAGAUUAAUUGUAAACAUCAUAAUUUACUAAAAUUUAAAAAAUGAAAGAAUAAUUAAAUAGUGGGACACAAAAAAAUCGGAAUAAAGAAUCCCAAGUGCAAAAAAAUGGUCAUUCAUAAAUAAUAAAAUAUUUUUAAAUCAUUGAUAAUAUAAAGCACUACAUUAAAUAUAGAGUAAAAUUUUGAAGUAGCCAAAAUGAAGCAUAAAGCACAAUUUAUGGUCACACAUUGAAAAAAUACAAAAUUUGGCCAUUUUUAUUGAUUUGGACGUUUUUACCCUUAAUGAGGCGGACCGGGUAGGAUCAGACACGCGGGUCGCGUGCCGAGUCGGGUUAGGCACUUAUGGCACUAUUAGUGCCAUAAGUGUCAAGAUUUUACUUUGGUUUAAUUUUGAAUUUUCGUUGGCACUUUUGGCACUAGAUUUUACUUUGGUUUAAUUUUGAAUUUUCGUUGGCACUUAUGGCACUAAUAGUGUCAAAAGUGCCAACGAAAAUCCAAAAUAAAACCAAGUAAAAUAGUCAUUUUAGCACUUAUGGCACUAUUGCCAUAAGUGUCAACGGAAAUUCAAAAUAAAACUAAAUAAAAUGGUCAUUUGGGCACUUAUGGCACUAAUUGUGCCAUAAGUGCCAUACGUGCAGCACAAAUACAGAAACAACAACAUCAUUUAAACCCUAAAUGGAAUAUCUAAACCCCAAAUGGAUAAUCUAAACCCUAAAUGGAAUAUCUAAACCCUAGGGGGAAGUGUGCACUUAUGGAAAUAUAAGAAAAUAAAGUUUUCGUCACUUAUGUGAUUUGAACAUUGAACCACGAGAAUUCAUUCAACAAAAUCAUAAAUCCACCUUAUUUGAACUACUUCCUUUAUGCAUUUAUUUUAAAUGUAUUUAUAGAUAUUUAUUUUAGGUUCAAAUAGUAAAUAAAUCUUGAUGUAAUAAUAUUGUAAAGGAAACUACACGCGCUAAUGAAAUAACUAAAUUACGAUAUUAGAAUACGACGAGUCGAAUACAAGUGAUGGUGACAAAUUAGCAUAAAAACUAUNACCCCCUUAGAGCUCUCAAAGGGGCCUUGCCAUUGUGGAUGCUCUAAGAGCAUCUCCAUCCCAAAGGCUCUAAGACCACUAUUAUCGGUUAUAAAAUGGGAGACCAGAUCCCUGCUACAUCAGUAAAGCGAAAUUAAAAAAAAAAGUGAUAAUGCCGUUGAGACCAUGGUUGACCUUGCCAAAAAAGAGACCAUGUUUGGUCUCUUUCUCUUCUCAAGUAUAAACUAAUGAUAUUGUAACACUUGUCAUUAUUUAAUUUGUUGAGCCGAUUUUAUUAGGAUAAUUAAUAAAAACAAGUAUAUCUUUUAUAUAAAAUAGGGUUAAAGUACAGAUUAGCCCCUAAAGUGGACACCCGUUGGGCUCCCCAGACUCGACCGAGGCCCAAAUAACUCACCAUAGCCCGUAGAAAUACUACACUUAAGCCCACACCUCAAACGGCCCGUUAACGCCGUUUUCUUUGAUUUUUAAUUUUUUUGCGUGGGCCCACGUGCAACGACUUCCAAAAGUCACCCAUGUCCCUUCAAUUAUCAUCCAAGACUAUUGAUGAUGACUAACUAAUCUAGUCUCCACCCGGGUAAUGCUUGCACCAAUCUCAUUCUCAAUUCCCAAUUCUGUUGCUUCAAUUUCAGUUUUUCUCUAAAAGAUCAGGUAUCUCGAUAAGGUUUUAACUAUAAACCUCGGCGCAUUCUAAACUUGUAUCGUCUUGGUUUUUGUUGCAGGGUACUUUUAUCCCCCCCCUUCGAGCUACCGUCUUGUUGUUCCAUGUCCCAAGUGUUUCUCUUUAAUUAUUUGCAUUCUUUUCUUUGCAACCUUGUCUCGCUUUAAUCACUUUCUUUCAAAUAAAUGUGUAUAUUUCUUUUGUACAUGGGCCCAUGAGCCUUUGCUUGUAAUUUCUGCAGAUUUAAGCUUUAUUUCUGUUCUUGAAUUGUGAUUUUUGUUGCUUGGUUGUUUAGAAUCCAAUAAAUUGAAAGCUGGGUUGCUUAAUAUGAAUAUACUAUACUAAUGGUAGGAGUAAUUACGUCUAAUUAUACGAACUUUCACCAAAUAUUGAUUUUGCUGCACGUGAACUAAAAACACCAUCUCUACAAGAUCUUUGUCUUUGUCUUUCACUAUGAUAAAUCAUAGCUCUCCAUGGCUUGGGUCGGAGCUGGGUUUCUCGCAUUACUUCGAUGGGUUUUGAUCCCCAAAAUCAUUUUUCAGUUUUCCGUUAGUGGUUUUGCAGUUGGAUUGACAUUCAUGUUCGGUUUUUAUAUAUAAUUGCUCGAUUUGGUUUUUAUAAAUUCACAAAACGAGCAUCUUGCUUGUUGGUGUUGAAGAAAUAAUUGCUGGAGCUUUCUCUGUAAAAGUGACAUUAAUUUACUCACAACAAUUCAUUAUGCCAACUAAUCAAGAUUAUGUGCUUUCUCACAAAGUUACUCUUUUCACAUAGAGGAAAUACUCUGUUUCACAAUCCAAAUUCUUCGCAAUCUCGAUAGAAGAAGAUGGAUUCGUUUUAUCAGGAGCUCAUCGACGAGCAUCUUGAUCGGAAAAGAGUGAAGGAGGUGGAAGAAGAGGAUGGUGAUGUUCUUGAUGUGUUGAUUCAGCUCAAACUGCAACACAAGAUUCCUUCCAUUGAUUUUGGAUGGGAUAACAUUAAAGCCAUGCUAAUGGUAUGAUUGAAUUUAAUUUUGCUCAUAGAUUUUUAUUAUUAUUAGUUUCUACAUGAGAAUUUUUUUACCACUUUCUUGAAUUUUCAUUAACAAAAUUUGUUAAUUUUUUAUUUUNUGCCAUUGAAAGACACGUAGCUUAUCAAGUGUCUUCAAGGAGAGGACGAGGCCUCAGACAGCUCAUCCGCAGAUAUUCUUGUAUUUUUGAAUGAAGGCUACUUACUCCACCAACUAGCCUCCGAAAUUUCACCAAUCAAAUCCCGUCUUGAAAGGAUAAACAGGGAAAUGUUAGAAAGUGGCAUAAAGAAGAGCAUCAUCAACAAUACAGAUGAAGGGGAAAGCUCGUCCGCCAAUAACAGGGCAAGGAAGAGCUUCCCCGAAUUCAAGAUCGGAGACUAUUUUGUGGGGAUGAAGGACGAGCUCAAGCAGCUUCUUCAUCUCCUAGUGGAAGACGAAAAGCAUCGAGUAAUUUCAGUGUGGGGAAUGGGGGGAUUAGGCAAGACCACCAUUGCCAAAAAGCUCUACAACGAGACAAAGACCAGCUUUGAUCUUUGCGCAUGGGUUUGCAUUAGUCAGCAAUGUCAGAGUUUUCAAUCAGUUUGGAAUGAUGUUCUCAUGCAGCUACAGCAUCAAAACACGAAGGAUGGGCCAAAAAUAAGGGAGGAUGUUACAAGUUUGAGCGAGUGGGAGUUGAAGGAGCGACUAUGCAAGAUACAAAGAGAGAAGCGAUGCCUCAUUGUUUUUGACGAUCUUUGGGAAACUUCUCAUUGGGAUGGCUUCAAGCAUCCCUUCCUUGUCCAAGAUUUGCAGAGCAAAAUCUUGAUCACCACGCGCGAACGGGAAGUCGCGGAGAUUGGAUGCCCCGUGAAACUUGGGUUUUUAAAAGAGGAAGAUGCUUUGGAACUACUCAAGAAGAAAGCAUUUCCCCACACCAACAUUCCAGGUUAGUUGAAUUUGACUUCUAGUCUACAAAUAAUAUUCUAGAUUUACCUGUUGGUAGUUUCUAUUCUUGCAUCAUCGAUUCCAAAUCAGAUGAGAGGAUCUGAUUAAGUUAUAAAGUUACUAUUCAAUUAAUUGUCAUUUGUUUUUUCAAUGCAGAGUUUGCAUUGGAAGAAAAUUUUGAGAAAAUUGGGAAAGAAAUGGUGCAGAAAUGUGGGUAUUUGCCGUUGGCAAUUUCUUUACUCAGUGGGGUCUUGAGAAAGAAAAAUUCGAUGAUGGAGUGGGAGUUAGUCAAAGAAAUCAUAUAUAGAGAUGAAAAGGAGAUUGAUGGAGUGCUAAAUUUAAGCUAUGAAAGUUUACCCUAUUAUUUGAAGCCUUGCUUUCUCUAUAUGGGUAUAUUUCAAGAGGACCAAACCAUAUAUCCUAGGGAUCUAUAUAGGAUGUGGAUAGCACAAGGCAUGAUUUCAUAUGAGAAUAUUGGAGACAAGGACAAAACUUUGAUGGAAAUUGCCGAGCUCUACUUGGGUGAGUUGGCCUCCAGGUCCAUCGUCCAACUUCAAAUUGAUUACGACAUGCUGUCACAAGUGGAAGAAAAUAUAGGAGCUGCAAACUUCAUGAUGUAGUAAGAGAACUAUGUUUGAAAUUGGGGAGAAGUGAGGAUUUUGUGGCAGGUUUGGAGUUCAAAGUGGGAAACUACGGCAAGUUCCUCGCAUAGGAAAAUACGCAUUUGUAUCAUUUCAGGAAAGAAGUUCAAGUGGAACUCACGAGCUUACAGUCACUUGGGGAGAAAAUAGUAGUGAACAUUUAAGGUCUCUUCAAAUGUUCAAUCACAUAAAUUCGGGUGUUUUUGUUGAGUUUUCCCCGCAAGGUAUCGUUGAUUUUCAGAAAUUCAAAUUGUUGAGAGAUCUAGGUAUGGUGGGAUUCAAAUUUGAAGGAAGAAAGUUACCAAAAGGGAUCACUAAUCUGGUUCACCUUAGACGUUUGCAUUUAGAAAAUUGUGAAUUUGAUAAGCUACCGUUGUCCAUAAGGAAUUUGGUAUACAUAGAUACCCUUGAUUUAACUGAUUCGAUGAAUGUUGAAGUUCCAAAUGUUUUUAAGGAGAUGGUACGUUUAAAGCACUUGUUUCUUCCCGAUUAUGAUGAGGAAAAAAUUGGAAGUUAUCGAUUGACAUUGGACGAGGGAGUGAUUGAG
rnacentral:lncRNA from 1 species